ensembl:lncRNA
AGUCUCCGAUCUCCUCCGCUGGGAACAGCCACCCCUCCACCCCUUCCCUCACUCUGCUCCCAAGUGGGGAGCCCCGCUCCCAGGCUUGGCCGCCCCAUUCAAGGCGCCCUCCUCUAUUGUCUCCGCCUGCUAGUAACCUGGGCCAUUAGCAUUUCUAAAGCCCACUUCUCCUGGUCCCCGCUUUGGCUCAGCUUGGGCAGAGGAACUUAGCCCUAUAGAACAACAAUUCCAACUAACCUUCAAGAGCACUUUGGAGUAUAUAAUUCACGUUUCUAUAUAGCCAUUUCAUUUGCUUCUCACAACAGCCCUUAGCGGUGGGACACUGACAUCCCAAGAAGUUCGGUGAUUUGCCCAAGGUCACAAAGCUCCAGUUGUUUCCUAGUGUCUGGUCUACUCCAGGACCAUGGUAGACAAAGCAUUUUCUGAGCUUCCACUUGGACACUGAAUGUGCUGAAGAUAGCCAGAGGCCACCAGGAAUUUGCACAUUUGCACUUCUGUUUUCUAGGGAUGUUCACUGAACUGCUCAGCUACAGCCCAGCUCCUCCCCACUCUCCAUGGACUUUUACACAGAUGUGAGUUCUAUCUCGAUAGGUCUGACUGUUCAAAUCCCUGUUUACACACUGAUAGGAUGUCCGCAAUCUGCUUCAAAAUAACCCUUGGAUAGGACGUGGAUAGGGAUUGGAGUGGAACAAGAUUGGCCACAAGUUGAUAAGUAUUGAAGCAUAUUAAUCGAACCUCACAGCUUUGAAUCUUGGGAAAUCUGGUGGUGACCAGGCCUUCUGCAUCCUCCUCCUGGUCACUGAUAACCUUGAUGCACAGGAUGGGAUGGAGAUGCAGGACCCUAAUUCCUUCCUGAGUGACAUCAGUGAGGGCGCUUCAGGUUCCAUUGUUCAGCUACAAAAUACUACAAAUACAAAUACAUAGAAACUUCUCCAGCCCACAGUUCUCCAACUUGUUCACAAGGAGAGUGUGAGCUUCCUUGUCAGAGCUUUGCUGAACUCCAGAGACCAACAAAGUCAGAAAAUGGAGUGAGGCCCAGGUGACCCUGGCACGGCUUCCUCACUUCCCAGCUUCAUUUGGAAGUUUCCUGACAAGCAGCAACUUGAUGGUUCACCUGAGAAUUUUGUCAAAGUUCCAGACUAAGGUGAGGUCUGUGUGGCAUGUCUCUGGAAGCACUUUGAAGACAGGAGUUAUUGUAACAGGCGGCCAGCAGGAGCUCGUGAAGAUACCUCGCAACAGCUCUGAGAGGAAGGGAAUUCUUGCUUCUGUUGACAGAUAAGAAACUGAGUUUCAGUGAGGAGAAAUGAUUAUUAGCCCAAGCCCCAGUGUAAGUGACAAAGCUACAAUUUCAGCCUCAGAUGGGCCUCUCAAGCUGCUGUUCCAUACCCUUGGAUCUGUGAAGAAAGAAGCGAGGGCUUCAGUGAUUUGCUUGAGACUCAGCUGGCCUCCCACCUUCCCUCUCAACAGUCUUGCUCUGGCCGCAGAAGUCUCACCGCUCUACAUCUGCCACGGUCUCUCCAGCCCCCAUGCCUCAGACUAUGCACUUGGCCUGGAAUCCCGACUCCUAUUCUGCCUAGUGAAAUGCCCCUCAUGGAUGUUGUACCUCUCCUAAGUGUAAAAGGAAUGGAGGCAGGGCUUUGGACCUGAUGUCUACCUCCCUUCCAGCCCAGGGUAUGUCUACUGCUUUCCGGUGGAUGCUGGGGGCUAAGCUACACCAGCCCCAAGAGCACAGAUCUGGGCUCAGGGGAUCUUUCUGCUGCCAUCACCCAGGGCUGUUCUCUCUUUGCUCCUUUGGAGGAUGUGCUCUGAGACCAGAUGGACCAGUGCUCACAGGCCAUAUCUAUCCCUUUCCUAACUAUGCAGUUUUGGUUCUCUGAAGGCCUGCUUUAAGGCCUCAGUUUCACUCUCUGUAAAAUGGGACUGCUAGGUAUCAUCUCAUUGAGGAAGACGAGAUGGCAGGGAGGGAAAGG